AACGCACAUUGCGCCCGCCGGCAUUCCGGCGGGCAUGCCUGUUCGAGCGUCAUUUCGACCCUCAAGCCCUCCCUAGCGGCUUGGUGUUGGGGACCCUGCGGCUGCCGCAGGCCCCGAAAUGCAGUGGCGGUCCCGACUGACACCCUAAGCGUAGUUGCAUUUUCUCGCUUCUGGCGUGGCGGCGGGCGACUUGCCGUAAAACCCACGGGCGGGCCUACGGGCUCCCCGUGCUACCCAAGGUUGACCUCGGAUCAGGUAGGAAUACCCGCUGAACUUAA
rnacentral:misc_RNA from 1 species